UUCGUUGUCUGUUCGACCCUG
rnacentral:miRNA from 1 species